rnacentral:lncRNA from 1 species
AUGUCCUGUAGCAUCUGGAAUUCUCUGGGUCUUGCUGGUACAGGCUAAAGAAACCCAGCUGAAGGUAUGUUACAAUGUAGGAGUUCCCUGGUGGCCUAGGGGUUAAGCAGCUAACAUUGCCACCGCUGUGACUCUGGUCACUGCUGUGGCACAGGUUCCAUCCCUAGCCCCGGCACUUCCACGUGCUGUGGGUGUGGCCAAAAAAAAAAACAAAACACUGAAUCCAGAGGUGGAGCAGCUGCCGGAGCCCAACAACCACAGGAUGGAAUCCCAUCUUUGGGCCUCCGGCUCCCUGCCCUCCUUUCUCUCUGGGGGAUGGGAAUGGGGGGGGCAGGGUGGAGAGCGGGGCACAGGCCACACAGCAACAUCCUUAGGGCACCCAGGGCCUCCCCCCAGGGUCCAAGGAUGAGUUCCGUAGGUGGACUAGCCCCUGCCCUGCCUCUUCCAGCCAGCAGGGGGCGUGCUGGAGACAAGACCUUUUGUUUUGGGAGAUCUUUGUUCGUUAGGAAAUUACAUCAGGCGUUAGUAAGGUCAUCACCUGUUGAACUGUGGCUAAACUGUGGUGAUUAUAGUAGCUAAUAAUUUUUAAAAUGUGGUGUGUGGAGGCCUAACCCAAGUUUCUGAUUCAGUGCUUCUGGGAUGGGGGAGCCAAGAAUCUCCAUUUCUGACAAGUUCCCUGCUGUUUUGAGAUCCACGCUUUGAGAACUAGUGGUCAAACUGUUACAGGUAAUACUUUCACGGCCAGUGAUUGGCUCAGGAAUGAGCAUGUGACUCCAUUCUGACCAAUGAGUGCUAAGCAGAGGCCUGCUGGAGCCCUUCUAGGAAAGAGCGUCAUGGCUUUCUUCCUGCCUUGGGAUGCUGUGCUCUGGAUGCAAUGCCUGGAGCUACCUCCGCCACCUGGCAGCCCUGAGGGGAGCCAUCCUGGGGCCACAGUCUGCACCCUGGGGAAGGCAGAGCCCGGGCGAGAGAGAAGCUGGGUCCUUGAGACCUUGUCGAUUAGCUGACACCAGGCUGCUCCUGGCCCUUCCCCGACAGCUCCAGCUCUGGAGACGGCAAAGCCCCUUAUUGAUAAAGCCGCAUUGAUUCAAGGUCUCUGUCACUGCAGCCAGAAAAACCUAAACCUGUUUACCAAUAUGCAAUUUGCAAAUGCUGCGACAGAUGCUAGAAUGGAAACAGACCCUGGACGUAGUCCAGCUCACCUCGGUGCUUCCCGAAGCUUUUCGUGGACUGAGCUGGGGGUGACGUCGGGAUUGAGGGUGGGAGGGAACCGGGAGCUCUCUCCGUGUGCCCAAGUUUCAAGGUUAGGAUGCCGAGUUCAAGGCACAGGGACCCCUUGACAGCCAAGGUCAGCAAGGCCUUGUGUACCUGCAGUACCCAGUGCAAAGUCUAAGUCUUUCUGGGAACAGAUGCCCCUCAGUUAUUACGGGAUCAGAGAGGAGCGGGUCUGGCUCGGGGGAGGGGACCUCUCUCCGCUCUUGUAAGCCUCCCUGGAGUGGGUGGAGGAAGCGGGGCUGCUUCCUAACCCAGGGCACGUGGGGAGACUACUUUCCAGUCUUCCAGGAGAAUUAAGAGGGAUCUACGCUCCUGGGCACGGCUUAAGGAGACAAAUAAACCCCCGGUUAUUGGAUUAGCAUCGCCGAGGCAGCGACGGAUCCAGCUUGCUUUCAGGUGCUUUGUGAGCAGGACAGGAGAAUCUUGCAAGCGCUUGGCCAGUGUCCAACCUCUGCCUUGUGGCUGCUAAAGCCAUUUUGUGUCUUUGGGACAUGGUCUAAAAAUAAAGUCCGAAGUCCUCAGCACCAGCCAUUCGGAUACCACAUGGGGGCUGGUGUCCUUUCUCUGACAAAUAUAGGUCCUGGGACAAAACAGAGGAAGACGGGAGAAUGAGAUGAUGGAGCUGGGUUCCCACAAAGUCAGGGCGCCAGGAAACGGGUAAAACUGGAAGAAGUCAUAUGUGACCAUGCAGGUGAUUUGCAUGAAAGCAGGCUUGGAAGGAGUCACUGGCGUGACCUCAUUUUUGUUUAAAAAAAAAAAAGUUAAUUGUUGUGGGUCAGCGGUUAUGAAUCCAGCCAGCAUCCAUGAGGAUGUGGGUUUAAUCCCUGGCCUCCAUCAGUGGCUUAAGAAUCUGGCGUUGCCACGAGCUGUGGUGUAGGUCACAGACACAGCUCGGAUCCCGCGUGGCUGUGGUGUAGGCUGGCAGCUGCAGCUCGGAUUCGACCCCUAGCCUGGGAACUUCCAUGUGCUGUGAGUUCGGCUCUUAAAUGGGGGAAAAAAAAAAAAAGCAAAACCAAACCAAACUGAGGUAAAAUUCACAUAACAUAAAACAACCAUUUUAAAGGGAAUAAUUUGGUGGCCUUUAGAACAUGCCCAGUGUUGUACAACCACCACCUUGAACUAGUUCCCAACCACUUUUCUCUCUCUAAAAAGAAACCCUCUACCCAUUAAGCUAUCACUUCCCGCUCCCCCCAUCACUGUCGGUCCUUUCUGUAUGAAUUCACCCAUCCUGGACAUUUUGUAUAAGGGGAGUCAAACAGUCUGUGUGUGGCCUUUUGUGUCUGGCUUCUUUCACUAAGAAUAGUGUUUUCAAGGGUUAUCUGUGAGUAGCAUGUCCACGCAUCAUGCCUGGAUGUUACGUCACAUGUUCUGGCCUGUGUCAGUGCUUCACUCCUUUUUUAUGGCUUCAUAAUAUUCCACUGCAUAGAUGGACCACACUUUGUUUAUUCAUCAGUUGAUGGACACUUAGGUGGCUUUGAACAUUCAUAUGCAAUAUAUUUGUUCGAAUACCUUCCUUUAAUUCUUUUAAAUGUAUUCCUAGAAGUAUAACUUCUGAUAGAGUAAGCUUAAGCAGGUACACAAAUAAGUUCACACAUGUACGUGCACACACAUCUAGACACAAAUACAUCUAAGAAACCCACAGAUGGGGGGUUGGGAAAAUGUUACAGGUCUCACACCCCCAAAUUGACAUAUAAGCAGCAUCACAAGGCUCCCACACUUAGUAAAAGGAGAAUUUACCCCCCCCCCGAGAAUGGUCAGAGAAACAGCGGAAGAGGGAAUGCAAUGAGCUGUUAAGAUUCUAUUUUGCAAGACGAAGGACCUCGGGUCAUGAGGUUAUGUUCAGUAGAAGAGGCAGAAAGCAGGAGUGUAAAAUGGUCACAAUUUGGUUAAAAUUCAUAGGCAGAGAUGCUCCUCUCUCUGCAUGUGGGGAAAAUGCCAGGGGAAAAUGCAUGAUGGGACCAGGGGUUUUAUUGCCCUUCCUUGUGGUUUUGUAUUUUACAGAUUUUCUACAUUGAAAACAUUAGGGUCAAAUGAGCUGAGGUCACUAAAAGACUUAGAAAAGGGGAGUUCCCGUCGUGGCGCAGUGGUUAACGAAUCCGACUGGGAACCAUGAGGUUGCGGGUUCGGUCCCUGCCCUUGCUCAGUGGGUUAAUGAUCCGGCGUUGCCGUGAGCUGUGGUGUAGGUCGCAGACGCGGCUCGGAUCCAACGUCGCUGUGGCUCUGGCGUAAGCUGGUGGCUACAGGUCUGAUUAGACCCCUAGCCUGGGAACCUCCAUAUGCCGCGGGAGCGGCCCAAGAAAUAGCAAAAAGACAAAAAAAAAAAGACUUAGAAAAGGACUUGGUGCAUGGCAUGUGCUCUAGAGGUAUUUGUUUAUAAUCAGACAAUUUGCAAAGAAAAAAAUACUUCUGGAGUUCCCAUCGCGGCACAGUGGAAACGAAUCUGACUAGGAACCAUGAGGUUGCAGGUUCAAUCCCUGGCCUGGCUCAGUGGGUGAAGGAUCCAGUGUUGCCGUGAGCUGUGGUGUAGCUCGGAGAUGCAGCUCGGAUCUGGUGUUGCUGUGACUGUGCUGUAGACUGGCAGCUGUAGAUCCGAUUAGACCCCUAGCCUGGGAACCUCCACAUGCCGUAGGUGCGGCCCUAAAAAAAAAAGAAAACAGUACUUCUUUCUGCCUUUCUCAGGGUUGGAGUGCGUGCUCCAAGAAGGCAGGGAGGCAAGGGCUGGCUCCGUGGAUGUGACGUGAAGGGCAGCUUUCCACCCUUGGCUCUUGUCCCUGGAUGAAGCAGGAAUCCCUCUUUCCCCGCCCCGAGAUCCCCGUCCCAUCUAGCAACUCUGCAGAGGCCUUCAAUGUGCUCUCAAAGGACUGUUGCCGGGAAAGGUAUAAAGUGACCAG